rnacentral:rRNA from 1 species
UACAGAGGUCUCAAGCGUUGUUCGGAUUCAUUGGGCGUAAAGGGUGCGUAGGUGGUGUUGCAAGUCUGGUGUGAAAUCUCGGAGCUCAACUCCGAAAUUGCACCGGAUACUGCGUGACUCGAGGACUGUAGAGGAGAUCGGAAUUCACGGUGUAGCAGUGAAAUGCGUAGAUAUCGUGAGGAAGACCAGUUGCGAAGGCGGAUCUCUGGGCAGUUCCUGACACUGAGGCACGAAGGCCAGGGGAGCAAACGGG